rnacentral:lncRNA from 1 species
UAAAAUAUAAAUCUUAAUAAAAUAUUAAAAUAGAAACCUUAAUUAAAUCCUAAUAAAAUCCUAAUCAAAUCUUAAUAAAUCCUAAUCAAAUUCUAAUCAAACUCUAAACAAACUUUAACCAAAGCUUAGUCAAAUCUUAAAUAAAUCUUAAUCAAAUCCUAAUCAAAUCGCAAAUAAAUCUUAAACAAAUCCUAAUCAAAUCCUAAAUAAAUCCUAAUCAAAUCCUAAAUAAAUCCUAAUCAAAUCCUAAUAAAAUUCUAAAUAAAUCCUAAUCAAAUCCUAAAUAAUUCUAAUCAAAUUUUAGUCAAAUCCUAACAAAUCUUAACCAAACCCUAUUCAAAUCCUAAAUAAAUAUUAAUCAAAUUAUAGUCAAAUCCUAAACAAAUCCUAACCAAACUCUAGUCAAAUUCUAAUCAAAUCCUAGUCAACUCUAAAUAAAUCCUAAUCAAAUCCUAAAAAAAUCGUAACCAAAUCCUAGUCAAAUCUUAAUCAAAUCUUAGUUAAUCCUAAAUAAAUCCUAAUCAAAUACUAACCAAAUCUUAACCAAAUCAUAGUCAAACUCUAAAUAAAUUCUAAAUAAAUGCUAAUCAAAUCCUAAAUAAAUCCUAAUAAAUCCUAAUCAAAUCUUAAUAAAAAUCUAAACAAACUUUAACCAAAACUUAGUCAAAUCCUAAACAAACUUUAACCAAAUCCUAGUCAAAUCCUAAACAAAUCCUAAAUAAAUCCUAAUCAAAUCUUAAUCAAACUCUAAAUAAAUCCUAGUCAAAUCCUAAAAAAAUCCUAAUCAAAUCCUAAAAAAAUCCUAGUCAAAUCUUAAACAAUUCUAAUCAAAUCUUAUACAAAUUCUAAACAAAUCUUAAAAAAAUCUUAAACAAAUUCCAAUCAAAUCUUAAAUAAAUUCUAAUCAAUUUCUAAACAAAUCCUAAUAAAAUCCUAGUCAAACCUUAAUCAAAUCCUAGUCAAUCUUAAAUAAAUUUUAAUCAAAUCCUAAAAAAACUCUAAUCAAUUCUUAACCAUAUCCUAAUCAAAUCCUAAAAAAAUUCUAAACAAAUCCUAAUUAAAUCCUAAAUAAAUCCUAGUCAAAUCCUAAACAAACUUAAACAAACUUUAAUCAAACUCUAAUCAAAUCCUAAAUAAUUCCAAGUAAUUUCUACAGUAAAUUUAAACCUUAAUAACUAAUGAAUGAACCAUCAAUUUAAACUCAAAUUAUACACACCUUUUCACAAUUAAGUUUAAAUAAGUAAAAUAUUUUUGAAGAAGAUCGAACUCACCAAAAAAAUAUCUCUCCUAAUAUUUGCUUGGAUGUUUACUAGCCUUCUUCUUUAAUCUAAAUGUUGAAUUUUCAACAUCAAUAUUUUCUUAUCAAACCAUUUGAUUGAUUUCAAAUUUCUUACAUACAUAGGAAAAUAAUUCUACUACCCACAUACAUAAUUUUUACUCCAAUCCAAUAAAUAGAUUGCAAGAAAUCUUAGAAGCCUUUAUUAGAUCUAAAACUCUAUUUUCCAAGAUUCCAACCUACUUAAACCUCAAUAAUCCUCAAACCAAUCUUUCGAUCUAACUCAAA